UCGUGAAGAGGGAAACAACCCAGACCGCCAGCUAAGGUCCCAAAGUCAUGGUUAAGUGGGAAACGAUGUGGGAAGGCCCAGACAGCCAGGAUGUUGGCUUAGAAGCAGCCAUCAUUUAAAGAAAGCGUAAUAGCUCACUGGUCGAGUCGGCCUGCGCGGAAGAUGUAACGGGGCUAAACCAUGCACCGAAGCUGCGGCAGCGACACUAUGUGUUGUUGGGUAGGGGAGCGUUCUGUAAGCCUGUGAAGGUGUACUGUGAGGUAUGCUGGAGGUAUCAGAAGUGCGAAUGCUGACAUAAGUAACGAUAAAGCGGGUGAAAAGCCCGCUCGCCGGAAGACCAAGGGUUCCUGUCCAACGUUAAUCGGGGCAGGGUGAGUCGACCCCUAAGGCGAGGCCGAAAGGCGUAGUCGAUGGGAAACAGGUUAAUAUUCCUGUACUUGGUGUUACUGCGA
rnacentral:rRNA from 1 species